AAUAGAUACCCGGGUAGUCCACGCCGUAAACGAUGGGCACUAGGUGUGGGAGGUGUCGACUCCUUCCGUGCCGAAGCUAACGCAUUAAGUGCCCCGCCUGGGGAGUACGGCCGCAAGGCUAAAACUCAGAGGAAUUGACGGGGGCCCGCACAAGCAGCGGAGCAUGUGGUUUAAUUCGACGCAACGCGAAGAACCUUACCUGGGCUUGACAUGUUCCUGAUCGCCGUGGAAACACGGUUUCCCUUCGGGGCAGGAUCACAGGUGGUGCAUGGCUGUCGUCAGCUCGUGUCGUGAGAUGUUGGGUUAAGUCCCGCAACGAGCGCAACCCCCGUCGCAUGUUGCCAGCAUUUAGUUGGGGACUCAUGCGAGACUGCCGGUGACAAACCGGAGGAAGGUGGGGAUGACGUCAAGUCAUCAUGCCCCUUAUGUCCAGGGCUACACACGUGCUACAUUGGCCGGUACAAAAGGGCUGCGAUACCGUGAGGUGGAGCGAAUCCCACAAAACGCCGGUCCUGGUUCGGA
rnacentral:rRNA from 1 species